CGGCCCUGCAGGCUGUUGCUUAUCGCAAUCCGCUGCCGCUGCCGCUGCCGCUGUCGCUUUAGCUGCUCAACAAUGAACUUUUGGGAGUGACAGUUUAGUUUUUUCGUGCCAUGGACGAGGGCCAGCAGCAUCAGCGACUCACGCACAUGUCGCUCCGAGAAGUUGAAACGGAGCUUAAAACCCAAAAGGGCCGAAAAAGAUAGCGGAUAAAACACAUGUAAGAGAGAUGGAUGGAGGAGGAAAUGAGAAGCUGAACAGAGCAGAAGAGAAGAGAAGAGAAGAGAAAGAUAAGAGUGGACAGCAAAGCGGAGAGGGAGACACGAGCAAAGGGAUGGCAAACGCUCACAGUGUACACUGAGCGGGAGAAGUAUGUGAAUAUAUUUGCCAUCUAUUCCAACAUGUAAAUUCGAUAUAUAUUUCUGUUUAGCACUUUUCUUAGUUUUCAAAAGAUAUUGCAAUAGAUACAUACAAAAUGUACCUUGUGUCGCAUAUCUUUCGACAGUCACUGUGUUUCGAAC
rnacentral:lncRNA from 1 species